GUUUUCUGUCAGUUUCAUUAGAAUGGAGAUAACAAUAUUGUAUUUUAAGCUCCGACGGCAUCAAUUGUGGAUUUGAAGGUCACAAAUACUCGUUUACUGUCUCCGCUAACGCGUUGCCAGUAAACUGAAUUUGCGACCAUCAAAUCCCCAAUUGAUGCCGUCAGAGCUUAAAUACAAUACAGUUAUCUCCUAAUUGAUGCUAUGAAGCGUACGCGCAAGCGCAGACGGCAUAUGCCACUUUUUAAAUACAUGUUUUAACGUUGUUUUCUGUCAGUUUCAUUAGAAUGGAGAUAACAAUAUUGUAUUAUAAGCUCCGACGGCAUCAAUUGUGGAUUUGAUGGUCGCAAAUACACGUUUACUGUCUCCGCUAACGCGUCGCCAGUAAACUGAAUUUGCGCCAAUCAAAUCCCCAAUUGAUGCCAUCGGAGCUUAAAAUACAAUACAGUUAUCU
rnacentral:lncRNA from 1 species